rnacentral:rRNA from 1 species
CAAGUCGAGCGAUGAAGUUUCUUCGGAAAUGGAUUAGCGGCGAACGGGUGAGGAACACGUGAAGAAUCUGCCCUCCACUUUGGGAUAACACCGGGAAACCGGUGCUAAUACCGAAUAUUGAAACAUAAGUGGCAUCACUGAGUUUUGAAAGAAUUUCGGUGGAGGAUGACUUCGCGGCCUAUCAGCUAGUUGGUGAGGUAAUGGCUCACCAAGGCAACGACGGGUAGCCGGCCUGAGAGGGCGACCGGCCACACUGGGACUGAGACACGGCCCAGACUCCUACGGGAGGCAGCAGUGGGGAAUAUUGGGCAAUGGAGGAAACUCUGACCCAGCGACGCCGCGUGCGGGAUGAAGGCCUUCGGGUUGUAAACCGCUUUCAGUAGGGAAGAAGCGAAAGUGACGGUACCUACAAAAGAAGCACCGGCUAACUAUGUGCCAGCAGCCGCGGUAAUACAUAGGGUGCAAGCGUUGUCCGGAAUUAUUGGGCGUAAAGAGCUCGUAGGUCGUUUGUUACGUCGGAUGUGAAAACCUGAGGCUCAACCUCAGGCCUGCAUUCGAUACGGGCAAACUAGAGUUUGGUAGGGGAGACUGGAAUUCCUGGUGUAGCGGUGGAAUGCGCAGAUAUCAGGAGGAACACCAAUGGCGAAGGCAGGUCUCUGGGCCAAUACUGACACUGAGGAGCGAAAGUCUGGGGAGCGAACAGGAUUAGAUACCCUGGUAGUCCAGACCGUAAACGGUGGGCACUAGUUGUGGGAACCUUCCACGGUUUCUGCGACGCAGCUAACGCAUUAAGUGCCCCGCCUGGGGAGUACGAUCGCAAGAUUAAAACUCAAAGGAAUUGACGGG